UACGAAGGGGGCUAGCGUUGUUCGGAAUUACUGGGCGUAAAGCGCACGUAGGCGGACAUUUAAGUCAGGGGUGAAAUCCCGGAGCUCAACUCCGGAACUGCCUUUGAUACUGGCGACCUUGAGGCCGGAAGAGGUUAGUGGAAUUCCCAGUGUAGAGGUGAAAUUCGUAGAUAUUGGGAAGAACACCAGUGGCGAAGGCGGCUAACUGGUCCGGAUCUGACGCUGAGGUGCGAAAGCGUGGGGAGCAAACAGG
rnacentral:rRNA from 1 species